AUACGGAGGGUGCAAGCGUUGUCCGGAUUUAUUGGGUUUAAAGGGUGUGUAGGCGGUGUAUUAAGUCAGUGGUGGAAGCCUGCGGCUCAACCGUAGAACUGCCAUUGAUACUGACACACUUGAGUAUGGACGAGGUAGGCGGAAUUUAUGGUGUAGCGGUGAAAUGCAUAGAUACCAUAAAGAACACCGAUAGCGAAGGCAGCUUACUAGGCCAUAACUGACGCUGAGGCACGAAAGCGUGGGGAGCGAACAGGAUUAGAUACCCUAGUAGUCC
rnacentral:rRNA from 1 species